GGGUGGUUAGCUCAGCUGGUAGAGCGCCUGCCUUACAAGCAGGAUGUCACUGGUUCGAGUCCAGUACUACCCA
rnacentral:tRNA from 2 species